AACGAACGCUGGCGGCAUGCCUAACACAUGCAAGUCGAACGAGACCUUCGGGUCUAGUGGCGCACGGGUGCGUAACGCGUGGGAAUCUGCCCUCUGGUUCGGAAUAACUCAGGGAAAAUUGAGCUAAUACCGGAUAAUGACUUCGGUCCAAAGAUUUAUCGCCUGAGGAUGAGCCCGCGUCGGAUUAGCUAGUUGGUGAGGUAAAGGCUCACCAAGGCGACGAUCCGUAGCUGGUCUGAGAGGAUGAUCAGCCACACUGGGACUGAGACACGGCCCAGACUCCUACGGGAGGCAGCAGUGGGGAAUAUUGGACAAUGGGCGAAAGCCUGAUCCAGCAAUGCCGUGUGAGUGAUGAAGGCCUUAGGGUUGUAAAGCUCUUUUACCCGGGAUGAUAAUGACAGUACCGGGAGAAUAAGCCCCGGCUAACUCCGUGCCAGCCGCCGCCGUAA
rnacentral:rRNA from 1 species